rnacentral:rRNA from 1 species
UACGUAGGGGGCAAGCGUUGUCCGGAUUUAUUGGGCGUAAAGAGCGUGUAGGCGGCCGCACAGGUCCGUUGUGAAAACUGGAGGCUCAACCUUCAGACGUCGAUGGAAACCGUGCGGCUAGAGUCCGGAAGAGGAGAGUGGAAUUCCACGUGUAGCGGUGAAAUGCGUAGAGAUCGGGAGGAACAUCAGUGGCGAAGGCGGCCAUCUGGAUCAACACUGACGCUGAGGCACGAAAGCGUGGGGAGCAAACAGG